rnacentral:tRNA from 1 species
UCCCUGGUGGUUCAGUGGGUAAGACUCCACACUCUAAAUGCAGGGGGCCUGGGUUUGAUCCCUGGUCAGGGAA